rnacentral:misc_RNA from 1 species
UAGUAGUAGACACCGCAAGA